UUUUCUAAGUUUGUGCGCUGUUUUCUCGUUUCCUGUACGCCACUAUUUUUCCAAUACUAUAUUCGUUCUUCCUUCUAUUAUAAAUAAUGACCACACAAUCAAUUUAAAUGCGAAUAGGCGAUGCAGAGUACAACCAGUCAAAUCAUUGUGCAGUGUUAAUGAAGCGGAAAGUUUUACUGAAGCAUCUUUAAGGUCUUGUGCGUGGGAGGAGACUAGUGGGCGACUGGAAGGUGAGGAGACGCUGCUUAACUCUCUGGGUGUUUCCAACAUUUUCUGUGUUUGUUCUUCAAUUAUUUGUUUGACUGCAAUUCAACUUACAUCAGUUGAGAAUUUUCGAGAAAGCAGAACGCACACCAGGCGAAGAGCCAUCUGUCAUCGCUUUACUGACUAACCACUGAAAAAAAGAUGCGAAGUGAGAAUAAUUAGCGCAUCAGGCAGAAAGAAGCCUUCGCCUACUGGGCUCGUGUGUCGUCCUGCAUUGGGAAUUCACCUUUGGUGGAACUACUAUCAGAAAUGCUACUAUUUUAGCUACCUAUAAAAAUGGAAAUAAA